AAUGGCAUGUUUAACACGGUCUUUCGACGUAUCCCACUAUAGCAGUAUGUGCUGGCAAUUACGUUAAGGGACAAUAUACUAUACACUAAGUUUCAUCAACUUAAAAGACACUUCUAGUUUGAAUUUAGUUAAAUGAUUAUCAAAUGAAUGAAUUUAAAGCAUGAGAUGAAAAACAAAAGUAGACAGCUGUCUGAACAUAUAUAUAUAUAUAUAUAUAUAUAUAUAUAUACAUAUAUAUAUAACAUGACCCUAGCAACAAGCUGAAGUUUCAAAGAAUCCAAAUUUGCUUUUACCUAGUAACAGAGAAUUAUACAUAUGAAGAACCAAUCAUAUUAGAGAAAAAUGAUGUAAUGAAUUUACCUUUGCCAUGCACUUAUUCUAUAUAAACUGUUGUACUCUAUGGCGAGACAUCAAAGAGCAAGACAUUGUCCAGCUCAGCUGACGUCAACUGGAGAUGCCGCAGGUUAACUUAAGUAAGGCAGGCAGGUGUCAGGAUGUUCUUCCAAGUGGCUACGGAUCCAGUUGCAGGUGUGAAGCUGGUCUGCUGUGUUGACCGAGUUUGAAUCACCACUGGUGAACACAGAGAAGCAGUUUGACCUGAGGGUAGCUGUAGAUAAAGGUAGAGCUUGUCGUUGUCAGAGAAACGCUGUACAUCUUCCUGAGAGGAGACAUGUCACAAGGAGAAGGAGGAAGGCAAAUGAAGGAUGCUUUCAUAAGAUUAAAGGAAUGAGGCAAAGAAAAUGUGCUCAAAAACACUGUAAAUGUACAAAUAGGCUGAAUGAGUGUGUAAUAUUAUACUAUACAACAAGACACAGUUGUAACACAAUAUGAACAUGAGUGGUCGUAGCCUAGUGGUUAUAGAUCUGAACUGCUAAUGUAAUAGUUGUGGGUUCAAACAUAAUCUACCAUAAUUGUGCCUUGAUAAAACACUUGAGAGUUUCUACAGCAUUCAUACUUGAGCUAACAAAAAGUGUCACCCUGUUAUAUCCUUGUUAUAAAUAAAAAUAUAAUGACUAUAA